GGAAGUCCCUCCCCGACGGCUGCGCCACAUCCCGGGAGGCUGUAGCUCUGCGGCUCAGAGCCCCGGCGCUGUGGAGGAGAUUCUAGACCGGGAGAACAAGCGGAUGGCGGACACCUUGGCCUCCAAGGUCACCAGGCUCAAGUCGCUGGCCUUGGACAUUGAUAGGGAUGUGGAGGACCAGAACCGGUACCUGGACGGCAUGGACUCGGAUUUCACGAGUGUGACGGGCCUCCUCACGGGGAGUGUGAAGCGCUUUUCCACAAUGGCGAGAUCUGGGCGAGACAACCGGAAGCUUCUCUGUGGUGUGGCCAUGGGCCUGAUCGUGGUCUUCUUCAUCCUCUCCUACCUCCUGUCAAGGGCAAGGACGUGAGCCAGUGGGAACUGGUUUCUGUAGGUACCUGGGACAACCAGGGUCUUCCUCUGCCUUGUGUCCUGGGCUCCAGAAGAUCUACCUACAAAAUACCCCUUCGAAGUGAUGAGCAUGGCUUAGGAAUCUUUUUCCUGUGUGGCUGGGAGCCUCUGACCCAGUAAGCUCAUGUUAGCUGGUCCCAUGUGUGCAAGGGGCCCAUCCCCAUUGGGUAACCAAGGCCCAGCUUCCUCUGCCAUCUUGGGUGCUAGAAGCCCUAGCAGAGCCAGGUUGGAGCAGAGCAGCUGGGAAUCCUGGACGUGACCACCUGUGACCAGCAGCCCUUCCCCCAGCCCUCAGGGUUCUGAUGUAUUGAGGCUUCUCUGCUUGGUCUUGGUCUGGAUAAGGCCACGUCUGGUAUUCGAGGUGCCCAGAGCCGACACAGGAAGGGGUGCGACUGUGAACCUCGAAUCAUUGCUGUCACUUUCAGCCAAGGGUCCUCAAACCAGAGAUGGCCGUUGCUCCUGGCCAGGGCUGCCGGGCACUGGUGGACCAGCAAGAGUCAAGGGUCCUGCCGAGAGGUGUCUGCCUGCCGUCCAACCCCAUGGCUGGAGCCCGACCCUCAGGGAAGGGCAGUGGCCAUGCGUGGAGAAGUGAACUGCAGCAUUGGCUGAAGACGCGGGCCCAGGUCCUCCUGGUCUCCCUGUGUCCAGGAGCAGAAACUGACCUUUUCUCAGGAUUCAGGGUCUGUCCAGCACCGAGACACGUUUCCAGGAGCCCAGAUCUCUAGAAAGAGGCUCAUCUGGCAUGUCAGAGUCAGGCAGGGUGUGAGCAGGGGCCUCUGUGGGUACAGCCUGGAGGCUUCCAGGUAACAGCUUUUCAUAGGAUCUGUAGGUCGCUUUUUGAGGGUCCGCGGACAGUUUCCACCGAGUCUGGCCCUUCCACCUACAGUAUCUGCCCAUCUCUCCUUGGGCCCUCAGUGCCCACUGGUCAGUCUCCUGCUCACACAAGGUGAACUGCAGUUUCUUCCAAACCAAUGGGUCUUUCUACCCCACUGUGAGAUCUCAGUGUCUUCCCAUGAAAACACCUGUAAGAAACGAGUCAUCAGCUCUGUCCUUCCCGUCUUUUGUUCCAGUUCUCUGUCUUCCUGGUCACUCCCCUUCACUCUCUGAGGGCUACCGGCUCACCGGCCAUCUUCACACAUACACAUGUGGUCAUAUGUCAGCCACAGCCUGUGCCUCUCAACUCCUGCCACCCCACCCUGCUCUGGUCUCUGGCCCUGGGCACCUCACCUUCUGGCCCUGCUGCUCCUGCUCCUCCUCUCUCUCUCCUUUGUUCUCCACCGAGCAGGCCUGGCUUGUCUCACACUCACCAUAAUGCCCUUCUCUUUUCCACUGCGCCUGGUUGGGCCUCAGCCUUCUGGAAGGGGAGCGUGCUACCUUCUCAUUUCCGAGUGCUCUGUUCUUACUGCCUCCAUCCCUCCAGUGUGUGCUUGUUUCUCACUCGGUGAGGUCCGCUUCCUUGCCUCCAUGGCUUCGACUCAGCCGUCAGCUCAUCUCAUGUUGAAAUUUGUCACAGGGACGUGCCUACUGUUCAUGAAGCUCAGCAGCUGCUGCCGUGUCGUGUUUCCAUCGGGUCACCACAGGCACGGCAGACACAUCAGACCUGAGUGUGGCAGCCGCCUGUUCUGGGCCUGCUAACCUGGCUUCCUGAGAAUAUGGCUCAGCCAUGGCUGUUGCUCCCCCCAGGAUGCUCUUACCUGCUGUGCCCACUCGUCUUGCCAGUGCAGACCAGGAAUUGAGGAUUUGCCUUUCAGAAUGACUGUCUCAAGAAGUGCUCUGCCCCCUCCGAGACCUCUGGUUGCUGUGUUCUCUCCUUGGGUCCCCACCUCUGCCUCCCCACUUCAUUUCCAUGGCUCUUGGCAGCUCUUCCAGCUAUUUUGGGGUCUGGGUUUUUGUCUCUGUCUGGUUUACUUUUUUGUUGCAUUAGGCUGAGUUCCUGAAUGCUGCUGCCACCACGUCGGCAGGGUUUUCUGUGGGGCCUGCACCCUUCUGCUCAGCCCUGUGCACUCAGCACCUCCUCCUGUGGAUAAGUGGGGUUUGCUAAGUGGCCCUUCAGACUAAAACAGAAGAGGCCUUGGAGUCCUCUGUGCCAAGGGAGGGCCCCAAGUCAAGGACAAGGCAUUUGGUCAUAAAAACUUGGAAUAAACAGAUUC
rnacentral:lncRNA from 1 species